GAAACUCCAUAGCUCAGUGGUAAAGCAUCUACUUUGCAUGCCAAAGGCCCCAGGUCCAAUCCCUGGCAUCUCCA